UUGUCAUAUGAAUGAUGUAACAAAAACAAAAACAAAUUCACAAGAUCUGGGAAGAUAGUAAUUCACAGAAUUAUUAAUUUUAAUAAAAUUAUGUGUAUUUUAAUUGUAAUGAAAAUCUAAAAACUAAAGAACCUUUUCUCUCUGGUCCAGAAAGUUUCAAAAAACUUUUAAUGGCACAACUACUGAUUAUUAAGGCAUUCUCAUGGCACAUUAUACUUGUGCAUUAUGUUCAAAUAUUUUUCAGUCAGGCCAAAGAGAAGUAUAAAUGUGGUUCCAAUUACAUCCUGAAUAAAAAUAGGGUCAGUAAGUUGUAAUGGUUGGGGUUGGAUUGGUUUUUUAGGGGGGUGGGGGUGGAUUGUCAAAAUCCAGAAACAACUUGUGUAUUUUCUGAGUCAGAUUCCAGUACUAUGCAUGUAUCUAACAAAAUUCACAAUUUCUAGACAUUUGGUUGUAAAAUAAACAGAUUUGUUACAUUUUUAGUUAAUUUUGUUGCAUUCUGUUAAGAAUUUGUUGUAUUUUAGCCAUAUUGGAUACUUCAUAUGGAAAUUCAGAGGACAGAACUUUGUGAAUUUUAUCAUUGAAAUUUCAUGAUCCUUAUAUUCAAUUAUUUCUAAGAAUAAUGAAGUGGUAAUUCUAUGUAUGGCAAAAAAAAACAACAGUUUUAAAGGUUGUUCUUUACAUAUGUUAAACAUGGGAGGAUGUAUUAAUUUAGAUACUUUUUUGGAUAACUAUCCUGUCAUGGAAGAAUUCAUUUUCAAAUGAAUGCAAAAUAAGCUGUCUAAAAGAGAGGUAAAAAUAUCUUCAAAUGUUUCUUUAUUCAAACACUUCCAAUAUUUAUUGGUCGAUGCAAAAUUUAAUCUUGAUCUGACAAUAACUUUAAGUAGCACUUGAACCAUUUUUCAGUCAUGGUUACAGAUAAUAGAUAUUACAAUAGUAAAAAAAAGCUAAAAAAAAAUAUCACAGCAAAACCUAUUAAAUGUGUUCAUUUACUCUGAACUUUGUCAAACCAGAGGCUCAUUUGAAUCUAUAGUUGCUUACCUAUCUAUAGCUAGUAACAAUGUACACUGUAUGGAUAUCAAAGAGUAAAUACCUGGUAAUUGUAUGGAGAUCAAGCUUUAAAAAGCUGCAUGGAGAUUCGCAAUAGCUAUAGUUAUGGAGAUCAAGCUCUAAAUAGCUGUAUUGAGAUCAAGCUCUAUAUAGUUGUAUUGAGGUCUUACUCUACAUAACUGUAUUGAGAUCGAGCUAUAAACAGUUAUAUUGAUAUCAAGCAAUAGCCAUAUAGAGUUUAAGCUCGAAACAGCUGUACAGAGAUCUAGCUCUAAGCAGCUGUAUGGAGAUCAAGCUCUAAGCAGCUGUAUGGAGAUCAAGCUCUAAGCAGCUGUAUGGAGAUCUUGGUCUAAAAAGCUGUAUUGAGAUCAAGUUCUGAAUCAUAAUAGUUAUCAUUGACAUUUAACUUUCAUGUUUUGAUUUUAAAAAUAAAUUCAGCCAUUGUGAGUUUCAACCCUUUUCUGAGCAUGUCCAGAAAGGAAGUAUGCAACAUUACAAUUAUGACAUUUAAUGUUACAAAAUCUAUUAUCUUUUCCUCUAGUGGUCCUCUGUACCAGGUAAGCAACUAUAAUAAUUUGCUCUAGUGAUCCUCUGUACAAGGUAAGCAAAUAUACUAAUACUGACAACAAAAUAUCACAAAAAAGGAAGACCUGCUUCAACAAUCACUUUCCUAUAUCUAACAAUACUCUAGUCAUGAUAAAAAAACACACUCACAAAUAAUAUACAAAUAUACUAGUAGAUCUAUAAAAACAACUAUGGCAAAUUCAUGCUUCAUUUGUAACAGUUAUGGAAUACUUGACACUUGAACUAUGGGAUUUUUGUGGUUGACAUGGCUUCCUGAUGUCUCAUUUAAAAGGACCUGUGACCUUUAAAAAUGUUGAAAACCCUUAUAUUUAUUGUUUUAUAUGCUUAAACGUGAUCUGGUAUAAACACAGAACAAUUUAUAAAAAUAAAUAUUUAUUUAAAAAUGUGACCUUGCAACCUAAGGGAAUUACCCCUUUGAAGCCCCAAAUAAAGAACCAAGAAUAAGAUUCUCAACUAUUGAUUCUACUUAAAAAUGUUUUAUCUUAAAUUUUAAAGUUUCUUCAUUUGUUAGUCAUUAUGAUACUUUUAUACUGAUUUUGAUUGUUACAGCAAUACAAAAGUAUUAGAGA
rnacentral:lncRNA from 1 species